rnacentral:rRNA from 1 species
CGGACGGGUGAGUAACACGUGGAUAACCUACCUAUAAGACUGGGAUAACUACGGGAAACCGGAGCUAAUACCGGAUAAUAUAUUGAACCGCAUGGUUCAAUAGUGAAAGACGGUUUUGCUGUCACUUAUAGAUGGAUCCGCGCCGCAUUAGCUAGUUUGUAAGGUAACGGCUUACCAAGGCAACGAUGCGUAGCCGACCUGAGAGGGUGAUCGGCCACACUGGAACUGAGACACGGUCCAG